rnacentral:snoRNA from 1 species
UCCGCGGAUAGGAACCAUCGAGUGAUCGUAUUCGCUCCGUGGGCCGAUAAACCGCGCAAACCAUAUAUGGUGAUUAUGGUCGCAUUUUUUAACGACUGUUACUGAUGCAUUACCACUUCAUCGUACAAUU